rnacentral:rRNA from 1 species
UACGUAGGGUGCGAGCGUUGUCCGGAAUUACUGGGCGUAAAGCGUGCGCAGGCGGUUUUGUAAGUCUGUCGUGGAAUCCCCGGGCUCAACCUGGGAAUUGCGAUGGAGACUGCAAGGCUAGAAUCUGGCAGAGGGGGGUAGAAUUCCACGUGUAGCAGUGAAAUGCGCAGAUAUCAGGAGGAACACCGGUGGCGAAGGCGGUGGUCUGGGCCGGCACUGACGCUGAGGAGCGAAAGUGUGGGGAGCGAACAGG